rnacentral:sRNA from 1 species
UUGACCACCUGGAGACUGAAGUCCUAUUUAUGCAGAGAACAGGUGCCGCACAGACAGUGGCUAUUAAAGCUUUAUCACCCAGCCAAUGUGAUCACCUCCAAUGAUGAGAGUGCAGUUCAGUCUCCAUGUCAAUUCCAUCUUUGGCCUUG